ensembl:snoRNA small nucleolar RNA SNORA55
GCACUGUUCAGCAAAUCCUCCCCCGUCUCCUCAGUGUUGGCUGGAGGACAUCAGCGGUGCAACAGAAACCUCAAAGUGAAUCCAGAUGGUCCUCCUGACAGUGGAGCCUGUCUCUACAACUUUGACACACUU